rnacentral:tRNA from 1 species
GCCCAAGUGGCGGAAUGGUAGACGCAGGGGAUUCAAAAUCCCCCGCCUUAACAGGUGUGCCGGUUCGAGUCCGGCCUUGGGUACCA